rnacentral:lncRNA from 1 species
AUAAAGAGUGCGGAAAAGUUGCUGCCCAAUAUCCUACUCCAAAUACCAAAACGGGUUCUACAAGUUUCAUUAAAAAACUAUCUCCCCCUGUGGUCAUUUAUGCUGAUAUCGAGGCUGUAUUGGAAAGUUUUCAUAGAAAUCUGAAUGAUCCCUUAAAAUCAUAUACCACUAUGGCUCAGAACCAUACGGCAUGUGCAGUGUCAUUUUAUUUUGUACAUGAAUAUAAUCAUCAUUUAAAUGAGAUGUGGACAUAUGAAGGCAAAUAUUAUCACCAUCUUACGGUAAUAAAACUGUUAAACAUUAGGAUUUACGCUAUUUCAGGACCAGAUUGUAUCAAUAAAUUUUUCCAAGUGCUUCGAUCGAAAACCAUGGGACUUUAUGAGAAGUACUGGAAAUCCGCUAAAAAACCAAUCUACGAGUUCUACAUUUGGGAUGAGGACUAUCAGGAACAUGGAGAGUGCUAUGCCUGUGAUGAGCCCAUUUCGACUGACGACCGGGAGAAGUUUUUUAACCAAUUCACAGGUCAAUAUGUAGGUCCUAUUCAAUAGGUUUGUAAGCAAACAUUUAAACUAAGCGAUCCUUUUUUCCGGUAGUUUUUCAUAACUUGUCUCGUUAUGAUAUUAAUUUAUUUGUAACAUCAAUAAAAGAUGAACUUAACCCCAUACCGUGUAACAAAGAGUUAUACAUUGCGCUAACUCAAAUUGUUCAGAUUGAUAUUUCAAAACAACAGCAUUAUAAAAUAAGAUAUAUAGAUUCAAAUAGAUUUUUAAAUUCCAGCUUAGAAAAACUUGCUAGUUAUAUGGAUCCAUCAAAUUUUAAAAUUAAAAAAAAAACAAGUAUCAAGGGGAAAAAUUUGAUAUGUUAAGGCGAAAAGGAGUAUUUCCAUACGAAUAUUUAGAUAGCUUUAACAAAUUUGAGGAUCACCAACUACCUUCGAGAGAAUUUUUUUUCAACUCACUGAGUGAUGAGGAGUGUAGUUUAGAAGACUAUAGCUUUGCGCAGAAGGUUUGGAGAACAUUUAAUUGCAGCAGUAUUCGAGAUUAUUUGAAAUUAUACUUAGAAAGCGAUGUUUUAAUUCUUGCUGAUGUAUUUGAAAACUUUAGGAGUAUUUGCUUCCGAAUAUAUAAGUUAGACCCAAUAAAUUAUGUUACUGCUCCUUCUGUUUCAUGGGAUGCAAUGCUUAAAUAUACAACGAUAGAAUUGGAGCUAGUUAGUGAUCCGGAUAUAUAUAACUUUUUGAAAACUUCAGUACGCGGAGGCUUAACUCAAUGCACUCAACGGAUAGCUACGGCAAAAAUUAAAUAUUUAAAUGAAAGAUUCAGGGCCAGUGGUCCUAUAUACUAUCUAGCGUACAUUGAUGCUAAAAAUUUAUAUGGUUGGGCAAUGAGCCAGCCACUUCCAUAUUCCAAUUUCAAAUUUCUAAGUAAACGAUGAAAUUCAAUCUUUCAACGCUCCAAGUAUAUCUCCUUGCGGGGAUUUAGGAUACAUCUUAGAAGUAGAUCUGAAAUAUCCUGAUGCUAUACACAAUAUACAUAAUAGUUUACCAUGCUGCUCCGAAAAUAAGAUUCCUCCAGGCGGAAAACAAUCAAAAUUGAUAGCGGACUUAUCUGAUAAAAACAGUUAUAUAAUACAUUUGAAACAGUUGCAGUUAUGCAUAGAAAAGGUAUGAUUUUAGAAAAAAUAUCGCGAGUAUUAUCUUUUAAGCAAUCCUGUUGGCUUAAACCCUAUGUUGAUCUAACUAAAUCCAAUAGAAAAGUAGCUAAGAAUGAGUUUGAGAUAAACUUUUAUAAAUUAAUGGUUAAUGCUGUCUACGGUAAAACGAUGGAGAAUGUAGAAAAGCGACGUUAGGUCGCAUUCGCAAUUAAACACUAUAAUUCAAGACAAAAUUCCGCAGGGUUUAGACAACGCAUAGCUAGACAUAAUUUUCACAGUGUUGAAAUCUUUGGUGAAAAUUUAGCUGCCAUUGAGUCCACUACAUUGGAGUUCGUGUACUAGAACUUUCAAAAUGGUUAAUGUAUGACUAUUUCUAUAAUUUUCAUUCUCUAAAAUGCCCAUCAUCAAAAAUACUCUACAUGGAUACAGAUUCAUUUAUUAUAUCAUCAAAAGAAGAUUUUUAUGGGUUAAUUAAAGACAAUCCUAGUCGAUUUGAUACCUCAAAUUACCAAGAGUCAAACAUUUCGGGAUAAAUCGGGGCAAUAACAAAGAACCAGGUUUAAUGAAAGACGAAAGUGCGGGUCGUAUAAUGACCUCAUUUGCAGAGUAAGAAGCGAGAGCAUACUCUUAUUUAGUUGCCAAAGAUAAUAGCCCUGACCAGAACGUCAAAAAGAUUAAAGGAGUAAAAAAGUCGGUAGUUAAACGAUUAUUACAUGCUCAGUAUAUUGAAUGCAUUAAACAUAAAAAAACAUAUUAUGUACAGCAGAGAGUAAUCAGAAGUAGAGGUCAUAAAAUGUAUACUGAAAUUGCAAAUAAGAUAAGUCUAAAUUAUAAGGA